AGCCGCGGUGAUACGGGGGGUGCGAGCGUUGUCCGGAUUUAUUGGGUUUAAAGGGUGCGUAGGCGGUCUGGUAAGUCGGUGGUGAAAGCCCGGGGCUCAACCCCGGAACUGCCAUCGAUACUGUCAGACUUGAGUACGGUUGAGGUUGGCGGAAUGGGCGGUGUAGCGGUGAAAUGCAUAGAUACCGUCCAGAACCCCGAUUGCGAAGGCAGCUGACUAAGCCGUAACUGACGCUGAGGCACGAAAGCGUGGGGAGCAAAC
rnacentral:rRNA from 1 species